GAAACUCAAAAAAAGAAUCAAACUGAAGCAAUUAAAAAUAAUAGAAUAUGAUGACCAUCUCUUAUCACACAUUCAGGUAACAUGAUUGACCUAUAACAAUAUUAAAAAAACAAAAACAAAAAGCUAAUAGAUGGUCGGCACGUGUUCAACUUUAUCUACCUUAAGGAAAGGAUAGAAAGUGGGAGAGAGAGAGGUUAAAAGGCUUAAAAAAAGAAAAGAGCAGGAAAGACAGAAAUAAAAGAAAGGUUGAGAUAAGAGAGGGACGUGGAAAUAGAAGGAGAGGCUGAGGGAGGCAAAACGGAAGAAGACAUUGGAAGAUCGGAGGAGAGUAGAGAAAACAAUAUGAAUAUGUGAUGCUCGUUUAUCUAUUUGAUUGGGAUUUUUUUGUGCCUUUGAUAAAAAUACUCUGUUUUUUUUUUUAUCUCUUUGAUUGGGAUUUUUUUGUGUCUCUUUUAUUUGGAAUUUCUUUGGACACUUUAAUAAUAUAAUAACAAAGAAAAUUAAAAUAUUGGUGAAAUUAUUGUUCAUUCAAACAUAAAUUUACUGUGAACUACAGUAGUAUUUUUUUUCAUACUCUUCCAAAUAAUGCAGGAAAUGAGGACCUGAAAUGACAGCAGCGAAUAACGUGUUUGUUCUUGUUUCUUCUAAAGUAUUUAAAAAAAACAAUUAAAUUAAAUUUUAAUUUUAUUUCAAAUUAAUUUUUGAAAAAACUAAUUUGAAAAUUAGUAUGAAAAAAAAGGAUAAUAGAGUAGGUGUCCAAAUCAAAACACAUAAAUAUAGGACAAAAACAGGGAGAGAGGCUCUUUGUUUUUUUAACUGUAUUGGUUUAUAGUGUUUUAUGAAUAUUUUAGAUAAAAAAUAGGUUAAAAGCAAGUUUUUAAAUAAAAAAUCAAGCUUUAUUAUUUUAUAUAAUUCAAAUAAAAUCAAUUUAUUUAAUUGUUUAGAAUUAUAACUCAAGUUAUUUAACGUCUUUUUAGAAAAAAAAAAAAAAAACACUUGUAACAUAGUGCAGUACAAACAGAAGAGACAUAACCAUAGUGGCAAAAAUCUUAAAGGGUUCUAAACUUCUAAAUUAUUUCUGUUACUUUCCCUCAAUUUUCUAGACAAGCAAAAGGAGCUAAACUUAUUCCCGACCAAAACGUCAAGAAUUUCAGUAGAACAAAAGAAGAGAUUAUUACUUGACCAAAAACAAGCAGUCAUCACCCAAAGAAACCGAGUCAAUGAGAGAAAAAGAGUGAUAGCUAGAAAACAAUCAACAGAUCCAAGAAUUUUCUGUAUGGUUUCCAAGAAAAUGAAACGAAACAAAGAUAGACAAAGAUAGUUCGAGGAAGUGGGCAGCCUUUUUUCUGCUGUUCACGCAGACUAAGAACUCCUACCAUCGUAAAAUCAUAUAAUUAAAACACAACAAUAAAACGCAGCCUUUUUUCUGCUGUUCACGCAGACUAAGAACUCCUACCAUCGUAAAAUCAUAUAAUUAAAACACAACAAUAAAAAAGUAAUGAGCUGCUAAUUAUGUGCGAAAACCAGAGAAUACAGAACGUGAGAGUGAGUCAUUGUUGCAAGUAAAAGAGGCGCAGAGAGAAUGGGAAUAGGAAUUUCAUUACCUUAACUUGAGAAAAUAUGUGCGAAAAGCAGUGGUACUGAUUGCUCAAUGAAAAUAUGUGCGAAAAGCAGUAGUACUGAUUCAACAGCAACAAGGCAAGGUCUAAGCAUUUCGAUGACAUAAUUAAGAUAAUAUGUGCGAAAAGCAGUGGUACUGAUUGCUCAAUGAAAUGGAGAAGGCCUUUAGCUCUCUAUGGAAUCCAGCUUCAAAAGCAACAAGGCAAGGUCUAAGCAUUUUGAAGACAUAAUUAAGAUAACAUGCGUAGUAUAUAACAAAGAGACAGUGACAAAGAAAUGAAGAAAAAAAAUGCGUACAAGUACUCACCUAGCAAAGAAAGAAACGGAUGAAAGGUUCAGGAUAAUCACUUAGACGUCUCCAUGGAUGAUACCAGCUUGCUUCCAACAACAAAUAUAAUUAAUCUAAGCUAUGAUCGGUCAAUGUUUUUUUUAGUUUUUUUCUCUUUUUAAAAAAAAAAAACAGAUCAUCAAGGGAAAAGACUUGCAAAGAAGUAGAAUUAAUGGAACGAACACAACAAAGAAUCAAACUCAAGCAAUUAAAAGUAAUUGUCUAUGAGUACCAUCUGUGUCAUACACUCAAGUGAGGAGAGAAAAGAAGGAAAAAAAAAGGAAAGGGACAGGGAAGGCAGAAAGUAAGGUCACGUAGGGCUAGUCUUGUAGAAAGUUUGAAAAAUAGCACGAAAGAAGAGGAUAAUAGUAUAACAUUUAAUUUUACUAUAUUGAAAAUAUGUUGACCAAUAGAAUCCCCGCCUCAGCCAACCCCAAAUCUGUCUAUCAUCGUGUAAUAUUGAUUAUUACAUUAUGCGGUUUCCAGCUAAUGAUAGGAUAUAAAAUAUUUUUUUAUAUUCUAAAAUAAUUUUUUUAUUAUAUUAAAAAUAAUUUUUUAAAAAUAAAAAAAUAUUAUUUUAACAUAUUUUGAAGAAAAGCUAAAAGAACUAUGUUUAUGAGAAAGGACCAGGUAAUCCAAGGAACCAAUAGAUUAUCGCCACAUGUUCAACCUUAUCUCCACAUGUUCAACCUUAUAUUUUAUUGUGACAUAUUCCCGUUUGCUAUUGUUGCCUCUCUCUUUUUCCUUUUUUUCCAUAUGAUUCAAAUAAAAUUAGCUUAUUUAGUUGGUCAGGGCUAUAACCGAAGUUAUUUAAUGUCUUUUUCAAAAAAAAUUUUUUUUUUUUAAUAUAAUAGUGAUAUUUGUGUUAAAGGAUUUACUAGUAGUGAGUUUGAAGUUUACUAUUAUGAUAAAUUAGAAAAAAUCGUUGAACUGCAAUACCAUAACAAGUAUAAUAAAAUGUUUUUAUUCAAAUGUUUUUUGAUUCUCCAAAAUUUUCUUCAAUGUUAUUUUUAUUUCUAUUUUGAUUCAUAAAAAAAAAUUAAGAAAAAAAAUUUAAAAUUUAAAAAUAUAUUUUUCUCAGAUCAACCGUAUUUUUCAUGAAAAAUAAACCUAUCGGGUCAAUAUGGGUAAACUAUGUUGACUGGGGUAAAAAUUGAAUUUCAAGCUACUUUGAGUCAAAACUAUUAUUUUUUAUCAAAACUCAGUCAGUUGGGUUGAUAUCAAUUGAAAAAUAUUUUUUGAUGUUUGAAAUUAUUAUUUUAGUAAUUAAAACUGAUUUUUAGCGGUUGAGAGGUGUUUUUUUUAAUAUUGGUUUAAGUUUUUAGUUUUUUAUAUAUAUAACAAAUCAAUAACACAAAGUUUUAUUAAAGUAGUUGGUGCAGCUGGGACAGGUAAAAAAAUUUCAUCAGGACAACGCCGUGUCCCCUAGUUAUAAAAUUUUGUGUCCCCUCAGUAUCAACUAUAAAAGGCAGUGAAAAAAGAAAAGUGAACAAUUCAAAAAAAUAUCAAAUGAUCUAAUACGAUUUAUUACGCUAGAUAAAAACUCAAAUUCAUCUCAGUUCUUAACCAAAUCUGACUUUGGAUCUAAUUUUACCACAUCACUAAGGUGCACAAGAUUUUUGAUACACCCAGUGACAUGAUAAAAUUAGAUCCAAGGUCAGAUUUGGUUAAGGAUCGAUGAAGAUGGAUUUGGGUUUUCAUCUUGUGACAAGCUCUUUUAAAGGACGAUACCAAUUUAUUUAGAUUUUGGACCAAUUUUCAAAAAGCCAACUGAAUUUGACUUUGACAAAUUAUUUUAUAAUUGUUUAUUGGUUUAAAAUCUAAAAUUACAAUUUAGAAAGUCUCAAAUUACUUUUAGAUAGAAAUGAUUUGAUAUCAACCAAAGUUGACUUGCUUCUCAAGAAGUUUCCUGUCCAUAAACAGUUCCGACAGAGUCGAGUAAUGUGCCUGAUGAUCGAGUAAGGUGCCUGAUGAAUACUAAUCCAAAACUGAACCAUUCCGUGCAAAGCAGACUUGACAAGCUCAAGCCUCCCGACAUAGGUAAGAUUCUUUCCCAUCCAGCCAUGAAUGCCCGCUUCAAGCUUGUGUAGCAAGGGAGACUACUGACUAGCUAAAAGCCUUGAGAGUUAUAUUUAGAUUUCUUUUUCUUUAUCUUGCUAAAAAAAGUACAUCUAGCUCGAUAACUUUUCUUCAAGCCAUGAAUUUGUUGUUUAUAAGAAAUUGAAAAUGAGAAUAUCAGAAAUGAAGCAAAUAAAAAAUCAAUUUUAAAAAAAAAAAAAUGAUGUCAACUUUGCCUUUUGAUCUUUCAAUGCUGUAUUAAUUGAAAUUUGAAGUUGGUAAUUUUAUAUGAGCAUCUAGAACUAAAUAAAAAACUACACCAUUGGUUUGGUGCUCGACUUCACAAAAAAAAAAUCAAUUAUAUUGUUUAAGAAAAAAUAAAAAUAAAAAGACCAAAAUUGAAACAUGAAAAUAAAAAUAAAAAUAGGAGACCUUAAAAAAACAAAUUGUGUCAACGCCUCCAUGCCUUGUAAUUUUGAUAAAUUUUCUUUGUGGCCCUUUUAGUUUAGAAAUGAAAUUUUUUUAUACAAAACUUUAUUUUACUUGUAUUUUAAUUCUUGAGAUUGAGAAAGAAAAGAGAAAUUCAUCUAAAAAUUACAAAGAAAAGAGAAAACUUGCGAAAGCCAGCAAGUUAUCUACUCAAAAAAACCAUUCAACAUAAGAUUGCUCUGCUAGGAAACUUUUGAACAAAUAGUACAGCAUCAAGUCUCAGUCAUCUGGAGAUUUGAAUGCCCAAAUAUAUUCACAUGCUCAUACAAUAACAUUUUUAAUAAUGCAUUAUGCAAUAGAAACAGAACAUCAAAUUGACAGAGAAAACAUGCUGAUGCAGAAAAUACUCAAGUCGUAGAAAGGAGAAUGCAUGAAAGUCCACACAUUAAACAUUAUGUCUUUUAUUUUUGAAGGUUCACACAAUUGAAAAGGAACACAAAUGGGCACGCAAACAUACGCCCUUACUUCUAGAGGCUUGUACGAUAAUGGGCAAGCAACAUUAUUUUUUUGAGGUUCGCACAGUAAUGACUAAAUACACAACAUUACAUUACUCCUGUGCUGUAAACAAUUCUUCUAACUUCUUCAGCAAACACAUAGAUAGAUAAGUCGAAAUCUUCUAAGGUAAAUAAUCGUCACAAUGUGAAGCUAAUUUGUAUCCCAUUGCCAAUGGAACAGUUGGAAUUAUUUCCCACCAAUCUAAAACAUAUUCGUAGCACCAACCUUGAAAUCAUGUAACAACUAACCACCAUUCAACAUGAGAUUGUUCUGCUAGGAAAAGAUGACAUCAAACUUUUGAACAAAUAGUACAGCAUCAAGUCCAAAUAUAUUCACAGCUCAAAGACAUGAGUCUCCAUCUUCUUUCCACCCGUUAUUUCUGGUCCACUCUCUAUUAAUGCUUGAAUCUUCAGCUACUUCAGAUACCUGUAAACCAAUUCAAGCAUGGCAUGCUCAUUUUAACUUGUAAAUCAUAUUAUUGAGCGAAACAAGAAACAAACACACUAAAAGAGAGGCAAGAAAUCAAGUCAAAUCAGCAGCACCUCUGAUUGAGCACUCAUUGAACCAUCUCGUGUAGUAGCAAAUUUUGUGCUCAGCUUUGGACAUUGAUGGACCUUCAACUUCCCCAAACGAGGGAAUAAGAAAUCACAGGAUCCAAAACUAAAACAGACAAUACUUGAUAAUUGUUCUAGCGACAGCUCCCACAGAUUAGGAAGCACCAUCUCCUUCUCAACGUUGACAGGUGAAGCAUGAUCUUCCUGCCCAAAUACUCCCAAUAAUUGAGAGGCUUCACUUACUUCUAGUGUUCGCAGCUUUGGGAGACCUGAAGCCAUGGCUACUGGGAAGAGACUCUUCAACUUGUUGCAUUCUCUAAUCUCAAUUUCACACAAAUUGGGGAAGCAUAAAGAUUGAAGAUGAUCUCCUAACAAUAUCUGGUCGUUUUCACAAAUUGGAAUUAUUUCCCUUUCACCAUCCUCUUCUCUGAUAAUAUGCUUCAAUUCACCGCAAUCUCUUAUCUCAAGUCUUUUUAGCUUUGGCAGACUCUGAGCGAGGGACGGUGUGAAGAUAAAUGUCAGUUUGUCGAGAGAAUACAACUUCAGAUUAAUAAGACUUUGAAGGUUGACAUGUCUUGUGGGCCCCUUCCAUAUGUAUUUGAGCUGGGGUAACUUUGACAGCUGUAACUCUGUUAAAGAUGACAGCAGCGGCAGCUCCUUCUCCUCAUCAGCCUCACCCAAUUCAAAAACCUCUUCCAAUGAUUUGCAGUCCUGAAUUUCAACACUCUUUAGAUUUUUUAGAGCUUGCAGCAAUUUUGUUGGAAACGGAGCGCAAACAUCCCCACAAUCGACCACGUGUACAGAUUCUAAUCUUUGUAAGAAGUCGUCUAGCUGUCCAUGGGCGGCCAUCUUAUCAGAGAACAAUAUUAUAUUUUUUCACUCAUAAAAACAAUUUAUAAGAUCUAUAAAUAGGAGAAAAACAUAGAAAAAGUAGGAUUAAAUACUUUUUAGAGAUUACAUAUUAUUGUUUUAGUUUUUUUCUUAAUUAGAGAUACGUUGAAUAAUAAUUAGAUUUUUGUGAAUAAAAGGUUAAUACAACUCCUAAUAAUUAGUUUCAUGUCAAAAAUAAUAAUAAAAAUACUAAUUAAUAUUUUUAUUUUAGUUAUAAACUUAAUAAAUUUUUAAAGAUAUUUUAAUUGACUUCAAAAUUUUCAACACAAAAUUUAUGCUCUUAUAUAUUAAUAAUUUUUUUGUGGUUUGAUGUACUUUUGUAUAAAAAUCAUUUUUUAUUUUGUGCAUAGUUCUUAUAUAAUAUAUGGAAGGGUUUCAUAAUUAAGUAAUGGCAUGAUUGUUCUUGAAUAUAUCAAGAUUCAUCAAAAAGGAUAUACAGGCAAGAUUAUCUUCAAGGAGUUGAAAGUUUUAUUAAUUUCAUAAUUUAUAAACUGAAUAAUAUUAAUGCAGAUGAAAUUAGAUGUUCAUAUGUAAAGUGUAAAAAUAAAAAGUUUCACUGCAAAGAUACGUCCAUUGUCAACUGCGGCCUUUUUUUUGUUUUACUUUUUUAACUUUCACCCUACUCCAUUAAAUGUUUUUAUUUAAAUAAUGAUCUAUUACAUUUUUGUUUUUUUAUUACUAUAUACUUUGAAAAGAUUAGUUUGUUUCGUAUCAAAAACAUUCUUAUAUAUUUAUAUGAGUAUGUUGUAUUAGUAUGAAGAUUUUUAUAAAAACCAAAAAUUAUUUUUUUAUUAGAAACAACAUUUGGCCACUAAGAUUAAAUGAAUGAAAAAAUUUAAAAUAAAAAAGAUUGUCGAUGUAAACCAUUUACAUGUAUAACGAGAUAAGUUUUUCGUUUUAAUAUUAAAUUAGUAUUAAUAACUCUCUUGCAUUUAUUAAUUCAUAUAUUUAGUAGUAUAUUUUAUAAAGUAUAAACUAUUCACUUCUUAAUUAAUAAAUUUAAAGUUUUACAUAGAUGAUAAAACUAGUUAAUUACCAAACACUUAAAGAAAUAGGGGAUUCAAUGUGCAAAUUGCACGGUGGAUCACAUCACAAAAUAUCAUGGAUUUAGUGUUCUUUUUUUUUUUUUUUUAUUGGCGACUAAAAUGGAGGCCAGUUUAGAUUACACUUUUAGGAAAAAGUAACAUUAAAAUAGAAACCAAACUGGAAAAAAAUAGUAAUAGGUGGCUUUUUCAAACUUAUGCAAGGGAAGUUCAAUUUAGAUAAUUUUUUUGCCUUUGAAUUUCCUAAUAAACUAGAUCUAAGCUUGAGAAUAUUUUUGGUUUUAGUGUUUUGUGCAGUUUUUAAGGUCAUUGAUAGGUUUAUCAAAGUGCUUUGGGUGUUUUCAAUAUGUUUUAACUAAAAAAUAGGUUUUUAUAUAAAAAAAACAAUCAACCCUGAUUUUCCAACUACUAUAGUGGUUAAAAUAUGAGGAAAUGAAAAUGAUGCAUCAUCUAAUUUUAUUUUUUUAAAUGAGUCGUACAACGCUUCCAUUAGCAAUUAAAAAAGUCGUACAACGCUUCCAUUAGCAAUUAAAAAAGAGAGCUAACACACGAGUCCUUUCCAAAUGGGCCAUACAUGUUAUAUCUUGGCUUGCCAGACCUAGCAUUGUCUAACCAUUUUUUUUAAUUAAUAUUUUUUUUAUGUAUUUUUAAAAAUAUUUUUUUUUAUUUAGCCUUUUUUAAAUAGAGAUUAUUUUUAAUUAUUUGAUAUAUAUAUUUAAUUUUUAAAAGAUUAUUAUAAUUCAUCUAUAAAUUUUAUUUUUAUGUUCUAUAUAAAUAAACUUUAUUUUUAAAAAUAAAAAAUAUUUAUGUUUAGAUAAUUUUUUUAAUAUGUUCUAUAUAAAUGAACCCUUCCAUAAUUAGUUCCAUGUCUAAUUUUUAUCGAGAUAAAUUACCUCCAAAGUAGUCAAUUUGCUCAGCACGACACCCUUCCAUAUACACCUCAUGUCAGGCAAAGACUUCAAGCAUAAUGCUUUCAAAUUUGUCAACCCCUGCAUCAAAAGAAAUUUUGUGCACUAUUGAACUAUAUAAUUUUGGUAAGUAGAUGAACGAAUUGUCCAUAUAAAACUUCAGCAAAAAAACUUAUCAAUUAAAGGAUAGAAGUAGACAUGGCAACAAGGCAUGGGAAUAUGAAAUCAUAAGCUGCAGGACUGAAACAAACAACUCAAUAUUAGCAGAUGAAGGUUUAUCUUCCUCUUUAAAUACUUUCAUUAAUUGGGGGAAGAGCCUCAAUUUCACUCAAACUGGGAAAGCAUAAAUUACGAUUGAAAAAUCUGGAUGUCAUUUCAUUACAAUAAUUAAUUUCUUACUUCUUAAGCCCUGCAUCAAGAGACAAGGAAUGAUACAGUUAGACUACUCCUUUUAAAUUUAGUGGAUGGCUAAAGGAUUUAUCACCACUUAUCAAUUACUUCAGUUUCAGAAAUUUGGAGGAAAAAAUUUAUUGGAGAAAUAUAAAGGACGUACUUGGAGCUGUGCAGACAAAUUUCCCAAUUCUUUGUGGCCAUUGAUUUUUAGAUAUUGCAAAGAAGGCAAUUGGGCAGCAAAAUUCUUUGGACCAAAAAAGCUGCCAUUUGAAAGAGACAAUUCUCUUAGCCGAGGGAAUUUGAUGAUGCCAUCUGUGGGGAGUGCAUCUCCUUCUCCACUGUAAAAUAUUUGCUUUAAACUGUCAGCACGAUCAAUCGUUAUCUCUUCCAGGUUCGGAAGGCUCGGAGAUAUAGAGACGGGGAAGACAUAUUCAAGUUUAUAACAUCCAGAUAUGUCGAUAGUGUUUAAUUGUGGGAAGCAAGGAGACUCUGGAAUUAUUUCCCCUUCACCAUAUUCUUCUCUGAUAAUAUGCUUCAAUUCACCGCAAUCUCUUAUCUCAAGUCUUUCUAGCUUUGGCAGACUCUGAGCGAGGGACGUUGUGAAGAUAAAUGUCAGUUUGUCGAGAGAACGCAAUUUCAGAACAACAAGACUUUGGAGGCUGACAUGUCCGGUGGGCCCCUUCCAUAUGCAUUUGAGCUGGGGUAACUUUGACAGCUGUAACCUCGUUAAAGAUGACAGCAGCGGCAGCUCAUUCUCCUCACUGCUUCCUUCAUCAGCCUCACCCAAUUCAAAUACCUCUUCCAAUGAUUUGCAGCUGGCAACAAUCAACUCCUUUAAAGUUUUCAUUGAUUUGCAGAAAUUUUGCUGUAACAUCCCCACAUUCGUUCACUCGUACACAUUCUAAUCUUUGUAAGAGCCAUUUUGCUCCCCAUGGCGGCCAUCUUAUCAGAGAACAAUAUUAUAUUUUUUCACUCUCAUAAAAACAAUUUAUGUGAUGUAUAAAUAGGAGAAAAAAACAGGAUUAAAUACUUUUUAGAGAUUACAUAUUAUUGUUUUAGUUUUUUUCUUAAUUAGAGAUAAGUUGAAUAAUAAUUAUAUUUUUGUGAAUAAAAGGUUAAUACAACUCCUAAUAAUUAGUUUCAUGUCAAAAAUAAAAAUAAAAAUACUAACUAAGAUUUUUAUUUUAGUUAUAAAGUUAAUAAAUUUUUAAAGAUAUUUUAAUUGAUUACAAAAUUUAUGCUCUUAUAUAUUUAUAAUUUUUUUGUGAAGUUAUUUGAUGUACUUUUGUAUAAAAAUCAUUUUUUUUUAAUUAUGUGCAUAGUUGCUCUUAUAUAUUACAUGGAAGGGUUUCGUAAUUAAGUAAUGGUAUGAUUGUUGUUGAAUAUAUCAGGAUUCAUCAAAAGGGAUAUACAGACAAGAUUAUCUUCAAGGAGUGGAAAGUUUCAUUAAUUUUAUAAUUUAUAAACUGAAUAAUAUUAGUGCAGAUGAAAGUAGAUAUUCAUAUAUAAAGUGUAAAAAUAAAAAGUUUCACCGAAAAGAUAUGUCCACUGUCAACUUAAGCCUUUUUUUUGUUUUACUUUUUUAACUUUUACCUAUUCCAUUAAAUUUUUUAUUUAAAUAAUGAUCUUUUACAUUUUUGUUUUUAUUAUUAUAUACUUUGAAAGAUUAGUUUUAUUGUAUCAAAAACAUUCUUAUAUUUUAUAUGAAUAAGUUGUAUUAGUAUGAAGAUUUUUAUAAAAACCAAAAAUUAUUUUUUUAUUAGUAACAUUUGGCCACUAAGAUUAAAUGAAUGAAAAAUUUUAAAAUAAAAGGGAUUGUCAAUGUAAACCAUUUGCAUGUGAAAUUAUUUAUUUCUACCGAGAUAAGUUUUUUGUUUUAAUAUUAAAUUAGUAUUAAUAACUCUUUUGCAUUUAUUACUUCAUAUAUUUAUUAGUAUAUUUUAUAAAGUAUAAACUAUUCACUUCUCAAUUAAUAAAAUUAAUGAUAAAUAAAAACAUAUCUAUAACAUAAUUGUUAUUUUUUUCAUGUUAGAAAUUGACUUAAAUCCUACUCUCAUCAUAUAUAACAUUUUUUGUGUAAACAAUAUAUUUUUGUAUAUAAAUUAAAAAAAUCAUGACAUUUUAAAAUGCAUUCAAAAUAAUAAUAUUUUUUUUUAUUAUAUUUGAAAUUAAUUUAAAGUUUUACAUAGAUGAUAAAACUAGUUAAUUAACAAACAUUUAAAGAAGUAGGGGAUUCAAUGUGCAAAUUGCACCAUGGAUCCCAUCACAAAAUAUCAUGGAUUUAGUGUUUAUUUUUUUUUUGUGUUUUUUUUAUUAUUUCUUUUUUAUUGGGGACUAAAAUGUAGGCCAGUUUACCUUUAAUUUUUUUUUAUUUGUUUUAAUUAAAAAUUUUCUAUGUAUUUUUAAAAUUAUUUUUUUUAUUUAUUUAGUCUUUUUUAAAUAGAGAUUAUUUUUAAUUAUUUGAUAUAUAUUUAAUUUUUAAAAAAUUAUUAUAAUUCAUCUAUAAAUUUUAUUUUUAUGUUCUGUAUAAAUGAAUUUUAUUUUUAAAAAUAAAAAAUAUUUAUGUAUAGAUAAAUUUUUUAACAUGUUCUAUAUAAAUGAACCCUUCCAUAAUUAGUUCCAUGUCUAAUUUUUAUCCAGAUAGAUUACCUCCAAAGUAGUCAAUUUGCUCAGCACGAGACCCUUCCAAAUACACCUCAUGUCAGGCAGAGACUUCAAGCUUAAUGUUUCCAAAUUUGUCAACCCCUGCAUCAAAAUAAAUUUUGUGCACUUUUGAACUAUAUAAUUUUGGUAAAUAGAUGAACGAAUUGUCCAUAUAAAACUUCAGCAAAAAAACUUAUCAACAAAAGGAUAGAAGUAGACAUGGCAACAAGGCAUGGGAAUAUGAAAUCAUAAGCUGCAGGACUGAAACAAACAACUCAAUAUUAGCAGAUGAAGGUUUAUCUUCCUCUUUAAAUACUUUCAUUAAUUGGGGGAAGAGCCUCAAUUUCACUCAAACUGGGAAAGCAUAAAGAUUGAAAAAUCUGGAUAUUAUUUCAUUACAAUAACUAAUUUCUUACUUCUUAAGCCCUGCAUCAAGAGACAAGGAAUGAUACAGUUAAACAACUCCUUUUAAAUUUAGUGAUGGCUAAAGGAUUUAUCUCCACUUAUCAAUUACUUCAGUUUCAUAAAUUUAAAGGAAGAAAUCAACAUGUAUUGAAGUUGAUAAUUUACAUUAAAAAAGAAAGAAAUUAUUAGAGAAAUAUAAAGGACGUACUUGGAGCUGUGCAAACAAAUUACCCAAUCCUUCGUGGCCAUAAAUGGUUAGACUUUUCAAAGAAGGCAAUUGGGCAGCAAAAUUCUUUGGACCAAAAAAGCUGCAAUUUGAAAGAGACAAUUUUCUUAGUCGAGGGAACUUGAUGAUGCCAUCUCUGGUGAGUGCAUCUCCUUCUCCACUGUAAAAUAUUUGCUUUAAAUUGUCAGCACCAUCAAUCGUUAUCCCUUCCAGGUUUGAAAGGCUCGGAGACACAGAGACAGUGAAGACAUAUUCCAGUUUAUCACAUCCAGAUAUGUUGAUAGCUUUUAAUUUUGGGAAGCGAGGAGACUCUGGAAUUAUUUCCCUUUCACCAUCCUCUUCUCUGAUAAUAUGCUUCAAUUCACCGCAAUAACUUAUGUGAAGGCUUUCUAGCUUUGGCAGACUUCGAGCAAGUGACGCUGUGAAGAUAAAUGUCAGUUUGUCAAGAAACCACAAAUCCAGACGAGCAAGAUUUGGCAGACUUCGAACGAGGGACGGUGUGAAAAUAAAUGUCAGUUUGUCGAGAGAAGUCAAAUACAGAUGAACAAGACUUUGGAGGCUGACAUUCCUGGUGGGCCCCUUCCAUAUGCAUUUGAGCUCAGGUAAGUAUGACAGAUGUAAAGUUGUUAAAGAUGACAGCAGCGGCAUCUCCUUCUCCUCACUGCUUCCUUCAUCAGCCUCACCCAAUUCAAAUACCUCUUCCAAUGAUUUGCAGUCCUCAAUUUUCACACUUUGGAGGCUGACAUGUCUGGUGGGCCCCUUCCAUAUGCAUUUGAGCUCAGGUAACCUUCGCAGCUCUAACUUUGUUAAAAAUGACAGUAACUCCUUCUCCUCACUGCUUCCUUCAUCAGCCUCACCCAAUUCAAAUACCUCUUCCAAUGAUUUGCAGUCCUCAAUUUUCACACUUUGGAGGCUGACAUGUCUGGUGGGCCCCUUCCAUAUGCAUUUGAGCUCAGGUAACCUUCGCAGCUCUAACUUUGUUAAAAAUGACAGUAACUCCUUCUCCUCACUGCUUCCUUCAUCAGCCUCACCCAAUUCAAAUACCUCUUCCAAUGAUUUGCAGUCCUCAAUUUUCACACUGUCUAGAUUUUUCAUAGCUCGCAGCAAUUUUGCUGGAAACGGAGCGCGGACAUCCCCACAAUCGUCCAAAUGUACAUAUUUUAAUCUUUGUAAGAAGCCGUUUUGCUGCCCAUGAAAACAAAACAGGAAUUAUAUUUUUUCACUCUCAUGAAAACAAUUUAUAUGAUGUAUAAAGAGGAGAAAAAAAAUAGAAAAAACAGGAUUAAAUACUUUUUAGAGAUUACAUAUUAUUGUUUUAGUUUUUUUCUUAAUCAGAGAUAAGUUGAAUAAUAAUUAGAUUUUUGUGAAAAAAGGUUAAUACAACUCCUAAUAAUUAGCUUCAUGUAAAAAAUAAAAAUAAAAAUAGUAACUAAUAUUUUUAUUUUAGUUAUAAAGUUAAUAAAUUUUUAAAGAUAUUUUAACUGAAUUUAAUAUUUGAUAUUAAAUCUAACAGAUAAUAUAAAUUACGUAAACCAUGAGGCAGUUAAGUUUCUUAUAUUUAUAUAUGUUUAGAUAACGCAAACAACAAUGAGGUAGUUAAGUUUCUUAUAUUUAUAUAUGUUUAGAUAAAAAAAUCAUAAAAAAAAAAUAAGCUAUGUUUGUUUAAAUAAUUAAAAAAAAUCGAACUUGGAUUUCCUAGCAUUUAUCAAUUGACAAUUUAAAUUAGUGGAGAAAUACAAAUUACAUACUUGUUCUUAUAUUCAGUUACCCACUUCUUCGUGGCCUUCAAUGGUUAAUUUUAAGGAUAUUUUAAUUGAAUUAAAGAUUUCAACAGACAAUUUAUGUUCUUAUAUAUGUUUAGAUAAAAAAAUCAUAAAAAAUAAAAAUAAGUGGAGGAAGAAAGAAUAAAUUAUCGCAAUUGACAAUUUAAAGUAGUGGAGAAAUAUAAAUUACGUACUUGUAACUGUGUCAACCAAUUACCCACUUCUUCGUGGCCUUUAAUGGUUAAUCUUUGCAAAGGCAAUUGAGCAUCAAAAUUCCUUGGACCUAAAAAGCUGUAAUUUGAUCUGAGCUCAAGAGACAAUUCUAUUAGUUGAGGGAACUUGAUGAUGCCAUCUCUGUUAUGAGACAAAGAGACUGGGAAGACAUAUUCCAGUUUAUCACAGAAAGAUAUGUCGAUAGUUUUUAAUUGUGGAAAGCAAGGAGACUCUGGAAUUAUUUCCCUUUCACCCUCCUCUUCUCUGAUAAUAUGCUUCAAUUCACCGCAAUCUCUUAUGGAAAGUCUUUCUAGCUUUGGCAGACUCUGAGCGAGGGACGUUGUGAAGAUAAAUGUCAGUUUGUCAAGAGAAUCCAAUUUCAGAACAACAAGACUUUUGAGGCUGACAUGUCUGGUGGGCCCCUUCCAUAUGCAUUUGAGCUCGGGUAACUUUGACAGCUGUAACUCCGUUAAAGAUGACAGCAGCUCCUUCUCCUCACUGCUUCCUUCAUCGCACUCACCUAAUUCAAAUAACUCUUCCAAUGACUUACAGCUGUCAACAAUCACCUCCUUCAGAUUUUUUAAACCUUGCCGCAAUCUUGCUGGAAACAGAGUGAAAACAUCCCCACAAUCCCUCACUUUUACAAAUUCUAAUUUAUGUAAGAACAAUUGCUCAAAUGUCUUCGCAUUGAAGGAUGUACCAACCAAACUAAAUCUUGUCGAGGAUGGGUCGAUUCCUGCAUCAUACCAAUUCCCUAAUAUUAUAUGAUAUUUGCGCAAGCUAACUGGAAAAACAAAAUCUCUGGGAAUGCAUUCAACCUUCGGUAUCCUCAAUGAUAAUACGGCUAACUGAGACAACGAAUUUAGUUCUGUUAGGCUUGCAUUCAUUCCUCCUGUGCUGUCCCAUCCAACAACAUCCCAUCCCUGAAAGCUGUAUUGCCCGAUCAACAGCUCUUCUAACUUCUUCAACCUUCCAAUCAAAUUCACAGGGAUCCUUCUUAGCCUGCGACAACCUGUCACAUCCAACAACCUUAACUCCUUGAGCUCUCCUAUUUCAUCAGGUAAUUCUUCGAUGAAUAAGCACCAUAUAAGACCAAGAAUCUUAAGUCUCUGCAGCUUUCUCAACCAAAUGAGGUCCUUGCAUUGGCACUCGAUCAACACCAACAAUUGAAGUUUCGUUGAGAGUUCAAGUGAUUGCAAUGACAAACGCCCUCCCUUCAGAGACAAAACUUCAAUUUCUUUCAUCCCUUCAAAAAACCUCUGAGGAACAUUCAAACCAUAAUCCAGUUCUAAUAAUAGAACUUUGAGCUGUGGACAUACCAAUCCUUCAGGAAGUUCUGCUAGUUUAUUGCCCAUUAACGAAAUUGUUGUACACGCUUCAAAGCUUUUGAUAUUCAUUGGCCAUUCCUUCAACCCAAUGCCAGCCUUUACCAUGAAUCCAUAUUCUUUUGAUGACGCUAUCCGAAUAGCAACAUCACGAACCAAGUCAUGCAUUUUCACAUGUUCAUCAUUUCCAGUGUCCAACAGCAUGCAACAAUCUUUGAGUUUUUUUAUUUCCACACAAACUCGUUUUUUUGCAUCUCCAAUGGACUCCACAUCUUGAUGUAACUUAUACCCAACUGCGUAUCUCCUCAAGUCCUCGAUUGGAAUGUUGUAAUCUUCUGGAAAUAAACAACAUAUCAAGAAACAUAACUUGGUUGCAUCUCUAUUCAAAUAAUCAUAGCUCAACUUGAGACAUGCAUAUGCAGUUCUUCGUUCAUCAAUGUGUUCCAUGUCCGGAAAUUGAGAGUUUUUUAGCUCUAUUAAUGCUACGUCCCACUCAUCUUUAGAUUUACCUCUUAGAGCCCUUCCCACUGUCACAAGUGCUAUAGGCAAGCCUUGGCAUUCUCUCGCAACCUUCCUUGCCACUGUGUUCAAGGUAGAGUCCCCAUCACGUAAACCUGCAUUGGUUCUGAAUAAAACCAGUGCUUCAUCUUCAGUUAAGACUCUUAAAAGCACUGUUUGCUGGCACUCCAUAGAAGAACAUAUGUCUUGAAGACGUGUUGUUAGAAGAAUUUUACAACCCCUGUGAUCAUCACCAAAUGGGAUCCCUAUCUCUUUCAAGUCAAUAAGUUUCCAAACAUCAUCUAGGAUUAUAAGCAUCUUCUUUCCCUGCAGUCUCUGCCAUAAUUCACUUGCUCUACCGUCUUCCCUCGCUUUUUCAAAUUUCAGAUGUAAACUAUCUGCCAGUUGAUCCUGGAUGCCCAUGACAGUUGGAUUCUGGGACACCGUAGCCAUCAAAACUUCAGGAAAAAGCGGCAACUCUUUGGCUAUCCUGGCUACUUCUUUCACCAGGGUGGUUUUACCCACCCCUCCCAUGCCGCGCAGUCCGAUCAUAUUGACUUUGUCAUCUUUGAGAGCUUCCAUAAUCUGUUCGAGAGCUUCUUCUGACGAUUUUGAGGGCGUGAAUUCCUUUGAUGGGAGAAAAUACAUGGGCUGAGGAGGAGCUUUUUGGGCCAGUGUUUUAAACUUUUCGCUACGUUCUACAAGUUUUCUGAAAGUCUCCGACUUCUUGGCCAGUGCCUUGCUUAACUUGAAUUGUCGCAUGCAGUUCGGGCACCAAUUGAAGCAUUUGCCAUUUUUUCCUAUUUCAAUUUCCAAGGGCUUCGCACCUUCAAUUUCGUUGUUUGCAUCUUCCAGCCACUUUUUGACAUCUUUGUAAAUUUCUUCAGCAUUCCUUUCAGCAGCUUUGACAUCAUCUUGCAGACGUCCUUUUGCCGAAUCCAGGUUCUGCUUUCGUUCAUUGAAUUCUUCAACAAAAUGGUUGAAACAGAACAUGUAACGGAACUGCCUUCCUACUGGUUCCACCAUGAGUUCUGCUAUCUUAGAUAUAAUGGCUCCAACCACACUUUCAAGAGCCAUUUUCCACAGGUCUGAAAAUCAAAGAAAUAAGGAUACAGAACGUGAGAGUGAGUCACUACAAGUAAAACAGGCGCAGAGAGAAUGGGAAUAAGAAUUUCAUUACCUUAAUUUGCGAAAAGCACUGGUACUGAUAACUCAAUGAAAUAGCGGGAGGAAGAAAAGGAGAAGGCCUUUAGCUCUGUAUGGAAUCCAGCUUCAAAAGCAACAAGGCAAGGUAUAAGGAUUCUAACUGACACUUGUGAGUUAAAGCAGUAAUUCCCAUUAAAAAUGCAUUUUGAUGACAUAAUUAAGAUCAUUUGGAGACAAUGACCAAAAAAAAAAAAGGUAUAAAAGGACUCACCUAGCAAAGAAAGAAGCGAAUGAAAGGUUCAGGAUAAUCACUUAGCUCGCUUCCAACAACAAAUAUAAUUAAUUAAUCUAAGCUAUGAUCGGUCAAAGGUUUUUUUAGUUUUAUUCUUGUUUUUUUUUAAAAAAACAGAUCAAUAAAUAAAAAGACUUGCAAAGAAAUAGAAUUACUGGAAUGAACACAAUAAAAAAUGAAACUCAAGCAAUUAAAAAUAAAUUAUCUAUGAUGAUCAUCUCUGUGUUACACUCACUGAGGUAAUAUAAUUGGCCUAUCACAAUAUUUAAAAAAAGAAAGAAAAAAAAACCUAAAAGAACUAGGUUUUUGGUGGCAUCCAGAGUGCGGUUACUUUCUUCAUCCUUCUUUUGUGGUUUUAUUUUAUUUCAGUCCUUCAAAUCUUUUUCUUUUGCUAUUUCAUCGAGUUGCUUUGCUCUUGAGUUGAUGUGCUUGCCCUAGAAUAUGCAUUAUGCUAGGGAUUACAAUUACAUUACAUAAGAAAUUAUACUUACAGAUUAUAAUUAAAAAUUUCAUUUAAAAAAAAAAACAAAUUUAUGAGAAAGUACCAAUAUUACAAGUAACCAAUAGAUUAUCGCCACUUGUUCAACCUGAUCUGCACAUUAAGAUAGGGGUAGUCGACGGAAAAUAAUUUUUUAAAAAAUAUUUUAUAUUUUUUUAUAUUUAUUUGUUAUUAAAAAAAUUAAUCAAUAAAAGAUAUUUUUUAAUAAAAAAAAAUUAGUUUCAUUUUCAAAAAAGUAUUUUUCUUUUAUUUUAGAUGAAAAAUACUUUAAAUUUAAAAAUAUCAUAUUAUUUGUUGAUUAUAACAAAUUGGAUCCUCAAACUUUUAAUUGGUAUAUAUUUUGUUUUGAAUUUUUUUGUUUUCAAUUUUACUUCUUAGAAUUUGAUUUUAUAUUAAAUUUAGAUCUUAUUUUUAUGAUUGUUAUUUGCUUUUCUCUUUUUUAUUUUUUUAAUUAAAAUUUUUUAUUUAUCAAAUUUUAUCAUCAUUUUUUUAUUGUUAUUUAUUCUAUUUGAAAUAAUUUAUGAAAUUGUAAUUAUUAUUAUUUUAAUUUUUUAAUUUUUAGAUUUGAAUUUAUUAUUUUGAUUGUUAUUUAUUUUAUUUGAGAUAAUUUAUGAAAUUAGAUUUUUUUAAAAAAAAAAUUUCAUUUAACUUUUUAAUUUAAUAAAAAAUAUUUUUUACAUGAUACUAUAAAAUACCAAAAAAUUAUAUUACUUUCCGAAAAAGCUAUUUAAAAAAAAAUUACAUCAAUCAAACAAACAGUAACUUAGAUUCUACUGUGACAUAGAGAUAAAGGUAAUUUCAAAAGCUAAUAGAUGGUCGCCACGUGUUCAACUUUAUCUACCCACUAGGAAAGGAUAGAAAGUGGGAGAGAAAGGUAAAAGGCUUAUAAAAAAAAAGAGGAAAGGCACGGUUGAGAUAAGUAGAGGGAGAGGUUGUUGGAGGCAGAAAAGGAAAGACUACGAAAGUAUUUUUCUCUAUAUUUUGAGUUUUAGUUGUUAAUAGCCAUGCUCUUGCAAAUAAGGCAGGAAAGGAGGACCUGAAAUCACGGCAGCGAAUAAGGAGAGAAACAGCGUGUUUGUUUUUUAUUUUUUAAAUUAUUUUUUUUAUAAAAUUAUUUUUUGUAUUUUUAUAUUGAUAUUAAAAUAAAAAAAAAAUUUAUUUUAAUAUAUUUUUAAAAUAAAAAAUAUUUUAAAAGAAAACUACCUAUUCAAACACUUAAAAUAAAAACCUUAAAAUCACGGCAUGAUAAAAGGAGCAAGAAAGGAAAGGGACAAAGAAGGAAGAAAAUAAGGUCACGUAGAGGGCUAGUCUUGUAUAAAAUAGAAGAUGAAAAUUAGAAUGAAAAAGAGGCUAUUUGUUUUUUUACUGUGUCAAGAGUGGUUUUUAUAAUUAUAUUUAAUUUAUAAAAAUAUUAAAUUAAUAUAUUUUUAAAUAUUUCUUGUUAUUAUAUAUAUAUAAUAUUCUAACAUGUUUUUAAAUAAAAAAUUAUUUAAAAAAAAUAUGCUCACAAUACUAAAUUAUAGUAAAUUAAAAGAUAAAAGAUUUUUCUGUUUAUUACUAUUUACAGAGACUUAUUUUAUUGUGGAUGUGGAUAUUAAUAGUGAAUUUUUUUAAAAAAUAUAAUUUGGUAUUUGAAUUGUUUUUUUUUUUUCAUAAUUGAAUCUCUUUAUGCCCAAAUUAAAACUCAAUUGCAUUUUGUUUUUUAAGGAUAAGAGUUGAAUUCAAAGAUAGAUGACUGAAAUGAAAAAACUCGGCAAAAAUAUACGUAAUUGUUUGCAAGGUUUAUUUUAAUUCCUAAUCCUUUUAAACAUGUCCCUAUAAUUUCUCAACAUUACAUUUUAUCCGGAAUCUAGGAUUAUGCUAUAGAGACUAAACUGAAACUUUCAAAAAUUAAGAGGUUAAACUGAAAUUUCAUCAUCUUCAAUUUCAAACCUAUAAUUUUCACCUUAAAUUCACCAUUUAAACAAACGGUAACUCAAAAUUAUUAUUUUUACUUAAAAUCUUUCAAAAUCAACUAAAUAACUCAUUAUCCAUAACAAUCAACACAUAAUAUUCAAAUUAACUUAUCAAUCAAACCCAAAACACAAUCUUCAAAACCCUAAUAUUCAACAAAAUAGAAAAUUAAAGCUAAGAAAAACACAUUUAUACACAUCAAAGCGUAACUAUUCUUACAUUUUAAUUUAUUUUCUCUAACUCUCUUAUCCUUUAUCUUUUCCUCUUUAUCUUUUCCUCUUUUCUCUUUUUCUUCUUUUGCUCUCACGGUUCUCUCUAAGAAUUCAGAUCUCUCUCUCUAUUUUUAUAUUUAUGAACUCUUUAUACAAUUACUACAAUACCGUUCAUUCAUUUAUACCUACUUCUAAGCCUCCAGAGUUUUGUUGUCCUUUUCUAUUUUUUUCUAUUUUCAAAUCAUCACAAUAAAAUUGUUUUCUUUUUAUUAAGCUGCUAAUUUAUUUAGCUUUAACUCUUGUUCUCUUUUUCAUGUUUAGCAACUCUGAUCUGAUCCUUUUCUUUACAUGAUAUAAGGGCAGGUUCUUACCUCUUGAAGUCCGCUGGAUAAACCUAUAAGCAGAAGAUCCUGAAGCGAUCCCAAAUCACAGCUUCAAUCCCCAACACAACCAAUCUCCUCUUUCCCGUAGUCUGUCGUCCUCAAUUGGGAAAUGAUCUAAAAAAAUCACUUGAUGCAACAAGUAGGGUAGAGAAAUAUAAGACUUCAACAAAGAAUCAAACUCAAAAAAAUUAAAGUAAUUGUCUAUGAGAAGCAUUUCUGUGUCACACACUCAAGUAAUAUGAUUGACCUAUUACAUUAUACAAAUUAAUAAUAAUAAUAAUAAAAGAACUAGGUUUUUGAUGGCAUCCAGAGUGCUGUUACUUUCAAACAAAGAGGCUUGUGCAUGCGGUGUUACGCUGUUCAUGUAUUCUUUUUAUUAAGCUGCUAAUUUAUGCAGCUUUAAUUCAUGUUCUCUCUUCUUGUAUUGCAACUCUGAACUGUUCCUUUUCUUUGCAUGAUAUAAGAGCAGGUUCUUACCUCUUGAAGUCUGCUUCAAUCCCCGUAGUCUUCCGUCCUCAAUUGGGAAAUGAUCCAAAAUCAACAACUAGUCCGGAGAUAGUUUGAGUGAAAAGAAACGGCUGAGAAAUGAAAUGUGAAGGUUAUGUUGAGAAAUUAGAUGACAAACUUACUUUGUCCUACUAAUGCUUUUGCUUUCAUUGUUUCAAAAAGUAAAAGAGAUAUAAGCAUAAUCAUAAGAAUCCUGUUUUUUCUAUUUUUUUUCUCCUAUUUAUACAUCAAAAAAUGGCAGCUUUUCUUUUCCUUUCUUUUUAAAAUCUUAUACCUUGGGUGAGGCAAUUAGUGGAGCAUUAGACUUUUGAAAAGACAACAAAAAGAAGCAAUGACUCAUCUUUUGAUAUGGUGGUACAAGAUACACCAUGGUAUGGUGGUCUUGCAAGAAAUGUCUUAGCUUUUGAUAUGGUGGUCUUCCAUGAUCAGUUUUCGAAAGAUUCGAGUCUCCGUUCUAGUUCAGGCCGAAAGCUAAGAUUCUUUUAUUAGUGGUUGGUGUGGAUGAGAAUUGCAAGAAUGGACUCAAAGGCUCAGCUAAUCGUACUGUUACUGUAAACUACUAGGAAAUUCAAGGAGAGUUAACAAUAGCAUCGAUUCGAUCAAGUGAGGGGCUUCGGUGUCUAGAGAGGACCUUGCUGUUAAGGAAAUAACCCUAGAAAUUAUGGAGCCCACUAUUUAUUAAUCCAUUUCUAUUUACUACUUAUUACUAUUUAUUUAAUUUUAUUAAUUUACUAUAUUUUUGUUUGUGUACCAAUAAAAUUUGAGAUUCCUUUAAUUUUUUAGGUGCAUGGUCUAGUCUAUUGGCUGCAUGUACAAAAUCAAUUCAAGGGUGUGUAUCCUUAACUAUCAGGCUAACCUUUACAGGCUUAGCUAGCAAUCGAUAAUUAAUUUUUAAUGAAUUCAAUUUUUAUUUAAAAUAAGGAAAAAGACAUUGGUGAAUAAAUAGUUUCCUUCCUAUUAUAAUUGUUAGACCUUACCAAAGGGCUAAUUUAGAAAAAGACUAUAACUUAUAGGUCUAACAAUUAAAGAAAAAAGUUUAUUUAGACCUUCCUAUUAUUGGUCAACUUGUGAUUAAGUAGAUCAAUUUAAAUUAAUUAUUUUUAUUAAAAUGAUAAUGUUUUGUUUUUUCUUCUGAUAUUAAUUUGGCUAAUUUUUAUCAAAUCAAUAUUUUAUGUUCAAUCUAGCAUACAGGUUUAACAAAUAUGCUUCGCACUUGCAGCUGUGGUUUGCUGCGGGCAUUUGAUAAUUGGGAGAGGCUUUAGUUUCGUACCUGUUGAUCUGCUUCAUAUAUACUUGGACGGUUGGACCUCUUAUUUUAUUUUAUAUUGGUUGGAUCACACAAAAUUAACAUAUUUAUUAUUUAUUUAAGAUAAAUGAUAUGGCUUUAAUAUAUUAGCGUACACUUAAUAUGAUUAAAUUUAAUUUUAAUUAAUUAACAUCUCACCGUAAUAAAUUUACCAUUUGCAACCAAAAAACAGUCGACACCUUAUUAAUAUAAUCAAUAUAAUAGAAAAUUAUAGUGAUUUAAAACAAUUCAUUAAAAUGUUUGUAAAUGUUUUCAUUUUGUGACCUCGGUUCUUGUGUUAUCUUUUAUGUAUUGUUACUGUCGUACAUGGACACGUUAUAUGAGGGUCAUUUGGAGUCGUUAUCUAGUUGUUUAGUUCAAGGUCAUUAAAAAACCUAGAUAUACUAGUUCUAUUAGAGAUUUGAGAGUAAAGGACUAGUUAUGGUUAAAAAAGGUAUUAACAUUCCUAACACACUCUACCCAGAUAAGUUACUCAAAUUUAAGAGUAAGUUACUCUACCCAGGUAUUAACAUUUUUUCAAGGAUGAGGGUUGAAUUGAAAGACAUAGGACUGAAGUGAAAAACUCAACUAAAAUAAUUUGUGGCUUUGCAAUUUGAUUGCAAAGUUCAUUUUAGUCCCUAUAAUUUUUUAUCAUUGUAUUUUGAUACCAAACUUUAUUUUCCUCUGUUUUUAGUUUUUUUGUAGGAGAGAGAGGAUCACCAUAUUUCGUUUUAGAGAGAGAAAGUUGUUGUUGGGGAUUUCGGCCACCAAUUUUCUAAGUGGUUUCGGUUAAAAUGGGCUGAAAACAGGUUGUGGGUUACAACUAGGUUUUUUACCAAAUUAGUCAAAGUUUUUUUUUUUUUUAAAAAAAAAAUUCAACAAGAGAAAAGACUUGUAAAAAAAUAGAAUUACUGAAAGAAACUCAACAAAAAAUCAGACUCAAAGGAAUUAAAAAUAAUUUUCUAUGAUAACCAUCUCUGUAUCACACAUUCAGGUAAAUAUGAUUGACAAUUAUAAAGCCCUGCAAACAAUUAAAUUAUGCUUCAAAAGCAACAAGACAAGGUAUAAAGUAUACCAACAAAAAUAUUUUACUAACUGACACUUGUGAGUUAAAGCAGUAAUUCCCAUUAAAAAUGCAUUUUGAUGACAUAAUUAAGAUAAUAUAUAGACAGUGACAAAAUAAAAUAAUAAUAAAAAAUGUGUAAAUGAAACGAAAGAAAGGUUCAGAUAAUCACUUGGACGUGUAAAAUUACUCAAUUGGCAAAAAGAAACGAAUGAAAGGUUCGGGUAAUCACUUUUAGACUUCUCCACGGAUGAUACUAGCUCGCUUCCACCAACAAAUAUAAUUAACCUAAGCUAUGAUAGGUCAAAGUUCUUUUUAGUUUUCUUCUUAUUUUUUUUUUUUUAAAAAAACAGAUCAACAAGAGAAAAGACUUGCAAAAAAGUAGAAUUACGACACUAAAAAAAGAAUCAAACUGAAGCAAUUAAAAAUAAUAGAAUAUGAUGACCAUCUCUUAUCACACAUUCAGGUAAUAUGAUUGACCUAUAACAAUAUUAAAAAAACAAAAAUAAAACGCUAAUAGAUGGUCGCCACGUGUUCAACUUUAUCUACCUUAAGGAAAGGAUAGAGUGGGAGAGAGAGAGGUUAAAAGGCUUAUAAAAAGAAAAGACCAGGAAAGACAGAAAUAAAAGAAAGGUUGAGAUAAGAGAGGGACGUGGAAAUAGAAGGAGAGGCUGAGGGAGGCAAAACGGAAGAAGACAUUGAAAGAUCGGAGGAGAGUAGGGAAAACAAUAUGAAUAUGUGAUGCUCGUUUAUCUAUUUGAUUGGGAUUUUUUUGUGUCUCUUUUAUUUGGAAUUUCUUUGGACACUUUAAUAAUAUAAUAACAAAGAAAAUUAAAAUAUUGGUGACAUUAUUGUUCAUUCAAACAUAAAUUUACUCUGGACUACAGUAGUAUUUUUUUUUUCAUACUCUUCCAAAUAAUGCAGGAAAUGAGGACCUGAAAUGACAGCAGCGAAUAA
rnacentral:lncRNA from 1 species